rnacentral:rRNA from 1 species
GGACCCGCACAAGCGGUGGAGCAUGUGGUUUAAUUCGAUGCAACGCGAAAAACCUUACCUACUCUUGACAUACUUGGAAGCUCUUGUAAUGAGAGUGUGCCUUUUGGAGCCAAGAUACAGGUGCUGCAUGGCUGUCGUCAGCUCGUGUCGUGAGAUGUUCCGUUAAGUCGGAUAACGAGCGCAACCCUUACCCUUAUUUGCCAGCGAUUCGGUCGGGAACUAUAAGGGGACUGCCGGUGAUAAACCGGAGGAAGGUGAGGACGACGUCAAGUCAUCAUGGCCCUUACGAGUAGGGCUACACACGUGCUACAAUGGGGAAUACAGACGGACGCUAAGCCGCGAGGUGGUGCUAAUCCUAGAAAGUUUCUCGUAGUCCGGAUUGGAGUCUGCAACUCGCCUGCAUGAAGGUGGAAUC